rnacentral:lncRNA from 10 species
UUUUCAUUCUGUCAUUCUAGCCAUUUCUAGGAUGAAUUUCCUUUUAUUUGGAAGGAGGUUUUAAACUGAGCAUUUGACGUCACAUUGUUACCCACUGAAAAGUGCUCUCUGUAAGUGCUUCCUGAAGAAGGCAAGGUUGAAGUGAACCCUUUCAAACCAAUGCGUGGCACUUUGUUAGCAUUUGCUGAGUGUCCAGCACUAAGCUAGGCUUGUGAGUGUUUUUUUUCCAAGUCACUGGGAGUACUCAAGCAGAGCUGAUGAAAAUUCAUCAAUCUGGGAAGUUCCAGAAGGGAUUUUGCAGUGAGUAGAAAGUUGAAAUCUUGGAUGAUAACGUCCCUUCCAAUUUGAAGAUUCUAUAAUUUCCAACUUAGGCAACUGACAUAAGGGAUGUUAGCAGAGCUCAAAUCCUUAUGAACCCAAACUCCCAAGCCACUGGAUCCGGUGAGAUGGCUGGAACUCAGCAGGGUCAGCAUGAGGAACACCGCGAGGACUGCUGAAACACCACAUUCCCAUGGCUGCCGCAGGACAGCGGGGUGGCUGGAAGGCACAGUGUCUGUGAAACUGUGGUCCUCGGCAAGGGGUGUGACCUCAUGGUGGGUCGCCUGACCUAUGAGCAGAGAUGGAAGGAAGAAUGCCAAUUUGGAGGCAGAUGUGGGAAGUAGGAGUGCUGUGGCAACACGGUGUGGAAAUAGGGAGUUCUCUUCAGGCGUGAUGCUCACAGUUUACAUAAAUCUAUUGAUCUAUGUAUUUACCUGCCUACCUCUAUGUGUGCGUUUGUCUGGGUGUGGGGUGGAGCAGUGUGAGGUGGGUUCAGGAACCGUGUUUGUGAGGGCUGUCUGGGGAGACAGAACCAAUAGGAGCUAUAUCUGUACUGAUAUUGGUAUCUCUACUGAUAUAGAUAGAUGAGAGGGGAUGUAUUAGGGGAAUUGGCUCACACGACCUUGGUGACUGAGAAGUCCCACCACAGUCCAUCUGCAAGCUGGAGACCCUGGGACGCAGGUAGUGUGGCUUCACAGCAAGUUCAAA